rnacentral:misc_RNA from 1 species
UACGGAGGGUGCAAGCGUUAAUCGGAAUUACUGGGCGUAAAGCGCGCGUAGGCGGUUUGGUAAGUCAGAUGUGAAAGCCCCGGGCUUAACCUGGGAAUUGCAUCCGAUACUGCUUGGCUAGAGUCUGCUAGAGGGAAGGGGAAUUCCGGGUGUAGCGGUGAAAUGCGUAGAUAUCCGGAGGAACACCAAUGGCGAAGGCAACUUCAUGGGGCAAUACUGACGUUGAGGUGCGAAAGCGUGUGGAGCAAACAGG